rnacentral:sRNA from 1 species
CCUCUUCAAUUUGCUGAGGGCAAAUAAAGUGGAUGUGCGAAUCGAUGGCACCGGCGGUUAAGAUCUGACCUUCACCGGCAAUCACCUCGGUGCAGGGACCAACAAUAAUAUCGACAUUGGGCUGAAUAUCAGGAUUACCGGCUUUACCUAUAGCGCAAAUGCGUCCCGCUUUAAUGGCCACAUCGGCUUUAACCACGCCCCAGUGAUCCAAUAUCAAUGCAUUGGUAAUCACCGUAUCUGGGGUAUGGGCGCCGCCUAACUGACUCUGGCCCAUGCCGUCGCGAAUG